rnacentral:rRNA from 1 species
GACGAACGCUGGCGGCGUGCCUAAUACAUGCAAGUAGAACGCACAGUUUAUACCGUAGCUUGCUACACCAUAAACUGUGAGUUGCGAACGGGUGAGUAACGCGUAGGUAACCUGCCUGGUAGCGGGGGAUAACUAUUGGAAACGAUAGCUAAUACCGCAUAAUAUUAAUUAUUGCAUGAUAAUUGAUUGAAAGAUGCAAUUGCAUCACUACCAGAUGGACCUGCGUUGUAUUAGCUAGUAGGUGAGGUAACGGCUCACCUAGGCGACGAUACAUAGCCGACCUGCGAGGGUGCUCGGCCACACUGGGACUGGGACACGGCCCAGACUCCUACGGGAGGCAGCCGUAGGGGAUCUUCGGCGAUGGACGAAAGUCUGACCGAGCAACGCCGCGUGAGUGAAGAAGGUUUUCGGAUCGUAAAGCUCUGUUGUAAGAGAAGAACGGGUGUGAGAGUGGAAAGUUCACACUGUGACGGUAUCUUACCAGAAAGGGACGGCUAACUACGUG